CCACUAUGAUGGGGAUAACAGUUGGAAACGACUGCUAAUACCGAAUACGCUCAUAAUGAACUUUAUGAGGAAAGGUGGCCUCUGCUUGCAAGCUAUCGCAUAGAGAUGAGUCCGCGUCCCAUUAGCUAGUUGGUGGGGUAACGGCCUACCAAGGCAACGAUGGGUAGCCGAUCUGAGAGGAUGAUCGGCCACACUGGAACUGAAACACGGUCCAG
rnacentral:rRNA from 1 species